rnacentral:lncRNA from 1 species
GACAACUCUAGUCGGGAGGAACGCAAUACUGUCUCAUUAUGCAAUUGCCAAAAGGCUCAAUUAAAGUUGUAGUUGACCCUAUGAGAACUCGCCCCUAGUCGUAGAUUAAUCAAUUUAGGUAUUAGUUGAACAUAUAAACUCAAUUAAAAUUGUAUAAGAACAAAUGUUCAACCUGUUGCAACAGAUAACUUAUCUGUUGGAGUUAAUCAAAUAAAUUAAGUCAUUUAUUAAAAUAG